GCUCACUCCAACAUGUAAAAAUCCUCUUGUCUUUUGUUUCGGCAGACCUGAGUUGAAUCUAUUUCCUCUUGUGCAGUAGUCUUGCAAAAGUCUCCCUUGCCUUUUGAGAAAGAGAGAUUGAGGAGCCUCUGCUCUGGAGAUCUCAUUUCAGAGAGCUUCAUGCCAUUUGCUUUGGAAGAUUUGGACAUGCAAGCUCCUG